GGGUUCCUGGCAUACUGAUUU
rnacentral:miRNA from 17 species